UGAACGCUGGCGGCGUGCCUAAUACAUGCAAGUCGAACGAGUUCUCGUUGAUGAUCGGUGCUUGCACCGAGAUUCAACAUGGAACGAGUGGCGGACGGGUGAGUAACACGUGGGUAACCUGCCCUUAAGUGGGGGAUAACAUUUGGAAACAGAUGCUAAUACCGCAUAGAUCCAAGAACCGCAUGGUUCUUGGCUGAAAGAUGGCGUAAGCUAUCGCUUUUGGAUGGACCCGCGGCGUAUUAGCUAGUUGGUGAGGUAAUGGCUCACCAAGGCGAUGAUACGUAGCCGAACUGAGAGGUUGAUCGGCCACAUUGGGACUGAGACACGGCCCAAACUCCUACGGGAGGCAGCAGUAGGGAAUCUUCCACAAUGGACGCAAGUCUGAUGGAGCAACGCCGCGUGAGUGAAGAAGGCUUUCGGGUCGUAAAACUCUGUUGUUGGAGAAGAAUGGUCGGCAGAGUAACUGUUGUCGGCGUGACGGUAUCCAACCAGAAAGCCACGGCUAACUACGUGCCAGCAGCCGCGGUAAUACGUAGGUGGCAAGCGUUAUCCGGAUUUAUUGGGCGUAAAGCGAGCGCAGGCGGUUUUUUAAGUCUGAUGUGAAAGCCCUCGGCUUAACCGAGGAAGCGCAUCGGAAACUGGGAAACUUGAGUGCAGAAGAGGACAGUGGAACUCCAUGUGUAGCGGUGAAAUGCGUAGAUAUAUGGAAGAACACCAGUGGCGAAGGCGGCUGUCUGGUCUGUAACUGACGCUGAGGCUCGAAAGCAUGGGUAGCGAACAGGAUUAGAUACCCUGGUAGUCCAUGCCGUAAACGAUGAAUGCUAGGUGUUGGAGGGUUUCCGCCCUUCAGUGCCGCAGCUAACGCAUUAAGCAUUCCGCCUGGGGAGUACGACCGCAAGGUUGAAACUCAAAGGAAUUGACGGGGGCCCGCACAAGCGGUGGAGCAUGUGGUUUAAUUCGAAGCAACGCGAAGAACCUUACCAGGUCUUGACAUCUUUUGAUCACCUGAGAGAUCAGGUUUCCCCUUCGGGGGCAAAAUGACAGGUGGUGCAUGGUUGUCGUCAGCUCGUGUCGUGAGAUGUUGGGUUAAGUCCCGCAACGAGCGCAACCCUUAUGACUAGUUGCCAGCAUUUAGUUGGGCACUCUAGUAAGACUGCCGGUGACAAACCGGAGGAAGGUGGGGAUGACGUCAAAUCAUCAUGCCCCUUAUGACCUGGGCUACACACGUGCUACAAUGGAUGGUACAACGAGUUGCGAGACCGCGAGGUCAAGCUAAUCUCUUAAAGCCAUUCUCAGUUCGGACUGUAGGCUGCAACUCGCCUACACGAAGUCGGAAUCGCUAGUAAUCGCGGAUCAGCACGCCGCGGUGAAUACGUUCCCGGGCCUUGUACACACCGCCCGUCACACCAUGAGAGUUUGUAACACCCGAAGCCGGUGGCGUAACCCUUUUAGGGAGCGAGCCGUCUAAGGUGGGAC
rnacentral:rRNA from 1 species